UGAUCACCGUGCCCCUCUCUGACUUCUAGCAUCCUUGGUUCCUGUUCCCUUAGUCUCAGAAGCAUGGGAGAAAGCCAGAUGCCAAGUCCCCUUAAGAAGAAAAGAAAGGCCUCCAAAGUUUGGAAAACUUUAAGCCUGGAGAUGGGUACAAGGGGUGCUCCUGGGAGAAGGGAGAAGCUCACCUGUUGACAGAGGGACGAAAGUUUGGCUCUCCCACCCUACUCCCACCGCGACUCCCAGAACCCUGCCACGCCCAGCCCAGCUGUCUUGCCAGGCCCAGUACUCACCUUAAGCCCUCGGAUCUCGCCUAGAUGCAGCUGCAGGCGGCGGUUGACCUCGCGAAUGAGGUUGCUGUGGUCCAGCAUCGCGCUCACCUUUUCAGCUUCGGCGCGCCGCAGGCUGCGGAUCAGAUCCUCCUUGCUCCACUGCAGCAGUUCUUCGUCCGUCACUUUAGACAGAUCCUCCACGCCCGCGGGUGUCGACACGCCGGCCGGAGCCGAGGGACAACUUUCCGCCGCCGGCGCCGCUCCUCCAGCCGCCUUCGACAUGGUAUCCGCGCAGCGGCAGGUGCGAGUGGGUGGAAGCGGCGAAAGGACUGGGGAAGGUGCGGGCGCGGCUGGGCGGCCUCCGCCCACACCCCUGUGCGCUUCGAGAGUCAGCGGCACCUCCCGGGGACCGCUGCGUGGGGACGGCGAGGAUCGCGCUGCGCGGCCAUCCUAUCUCGCCAUCCAAGUGUGCGUACCUGCCGAAUCCCGGGGCCCGACAGC
rnacentral:lncRNA from 1 species